UUGAAUGCUGGAUCUUCAGUUGACAUAGGAGGUUCCUGACCAAAUAUCAUCUCACAGCUCAUAUCAUCAAAAUCUGCAAAAUCAAAUGGCACAGAACUAUCAUGAAGCUGCAUUGAUGGAUGGGUUCUGUUAAUUGCAGAAUGGUCAUCUUGUUUUUCUGCGCUUAACUUCUGAUUGGCACUUGAGAAUAUGGACACAAUUCAAACUUGGGUGCUUGUGGUCAUAUCACAUGUGCUGUAGGUUACGCAUUAAUGAUUGAUUUAAUGGGAAACAGAUGAAUGCUAGUGUCUUGCAUAUGACAUGGUGGACUAGAUGGCACUAACCAUAGAACCAUUUAUGCUUAAUUCACAUUCAAGAAUUCAGCUAUUACCAUCUAUGUUCACAUAUAUGAUUUAUAUUUGUAGUAUCAAUCUCUAGGCUGGAAUUCUCACCUGAGAUUGGAUGGAUCUACAUUUGGUUUUGUGCCCUCAGUGGCUAAGCUUGGGGCCCUCCAUUUACAUGAUAAGCAUGGCCUCCACAUUCUCUAGUGCAGAUUUCGCUGUUGUGCAUACCUCGCAUGGUCCGAUUAGCCAUAUAAAAAAGAAGGUGGUGAAGGCUGCAAAAAAUUCUCUUG
rnacentral:misc_RNA from 1 species